rnacentral:rRNA from 1 species
GACGAACGCUGGCGGCGUGCUUAACACAUGCAAGUCGAACGAAGUGGCGAACGGGUGAGUAACGCGUAAUCAACCUGUCCUUCAGAGGGGGACAACAGUUGGAAACGACUGCUAAUACCGCAUACUGAGGGAGGGGAUUGCGUCUGAUUAGCUAGGUGGAGGGGUAACGGCCCAACAAGGCGAUGAUCAGUAGCCGGUCUGGGAGGCGGAACGGCCACAUUGGGACUGAGACACGGGCCAGACUCCUACGGGAGGCAGCAGUGGGGAAUCUUCGGCAAUUGACGAAAGUCUGACGGCGCAACGCCGCGUGAGUGAUGACGGCCUUCGGGUUGUAAAGCUCUGUUAAUCGGGACGCGGUACCGGAAUAGAAAGCCACGGCUAACUACGUGCCAGCAGCCGCGGUAAUUC